rnacentral:rRNA from 1 species
GGACCCUACGGGGCGCAGCAGUGGGGAAUAUUGCACAAUGGGGGAAACCCUGAUGCAGCAACGCCGCGUGAGUGAAGAAGUAUUUCGGUAUGUAAAGCUCUAUCAGCAGGGAAGAAAAUGACGGUACCUGAGUAAGAAGCCCCGGCUAACUACGUGCCAGCAGCCGCGGUAAUACGUAGGGGGCAAGCGUUAUCCGGAUUUACUGGGUUUAAAGGGUGCGCAGGCGGCACGGCAAGCCGGCGGUCAAAUCGCGGGGCUCAACCCCGCCCAGCCGUCGGAACUGCCGGGCUAGAGUGGGCGAGAAG